UACGUAGGGUGCAAGCGUUGUCCGGAAUUAUUGGGCGUAAAGAGCUCGUAGGCGGCUUUACAGGUCCGCUGUGAAAACUCGAGGCUCAACCUCGAGCUGUCGGUGGAAACCGUAAGGCUAGAGUCCGGAAGAGGAGAGUGGAAUUCCCGAUGUAGCGGUGAAAUGCGCAGAUAUCGGGAAGAACACCCGUGGCGAAGGCGGCUCUCUGGGACGGUACUGACGCUGAGACGCGAAAGCGUGGGGAGCGAACAGG
rnacentral:rRNA from 1 species